UGGGGGAUAUUGCACAAUGGGCGCAAGCCUGAUGCAGCGACGCCGCGUGGGGGAUGAAGGCCUUCGGGUUGUAAACUUCUUUUGCUCUGAACAAGGCGCACUUUGGGGUGUGUUGAGUGUAGGGGUUGAUUAGCGCCGGCUAACUACGUGCCAGCAGCCGCGGUAAUACGUAGGGCGCGAGCGUUGUCCGGAAUUAUUGGGCGUAAAGGGCUUGUAGGUGGCUGGUUGCGUCUGUCGUGAAAGCUCAUGGCUUAACUGUGGGUUUGCGGUGGGUACGGGCUGGCUUGAGUGCAGUAGGGGAGGCUGGAAUUCCUGGUGUAGCGGUGGAAUGCGCAGAUAUCAGGAGGAAUACCGGUGGCGAAGGCGGGUCUCUGGGCUGUUACUGACACUGAGGAGCGAAAGCAUGGGGAGCAAACAGG
rnacentral:rRNA from 1 species